AGGUGCCCGUCGCGAAAUAUAGUAGCAGCCAUCUUAUAUUUUGUGUCGGAGAAAAACAAUUUGACCGUACAAAUGUUUCGCGAUUGCCCGUGAAGCCGCGCGACGCAGGGAGGCGGUGCGCUCGAUGAGGCGCGACGUUUUUCGACCCUAGACCUGGACCACUACAUUAGCAAAGGUGGAUUGGUACGCAGGAUAUGAGCAGUUUGUCAAGCGCAACCUGACUCUGCUCCCCCAUCAGCAAGCAGUGCAGCAGCAGGACCAACAGCCUCAGCAGCUUGCUGAACCGCAGCAGGCUGACAUUAUGACGUCCAUGUUCGAUCAGCAGAUCAAGAGUGAGCCUAUGGGAUUCUACUCGGUUGCUUCCAGUCGCUCGGACGGAUCCAACUCCAUGGUGAUGAAUCUAUCUGACGAUAGAGAGGAUCUUUCUCAGCAGGAGGGUCAGCUGCAGCCCCAGCAGCAGACGUUGCAGCUGAGUCAGCAGCAAAAUCAGCAACAGCAGGGCCAGCCGCAGAGUCAGCAACAGACGCAACAGAAUCAGCAGCAGCAGCAGCAGAGUCAGGGCAUGCAACAGGAGUCACCGAGUCGUCAGUCCGCGGGCCAACAGCCGGUCGCUAAGGAGGGUUCACGGUCCAAACCUCAACCUUGCAAGGUUUGCGGCAAGGUUCUGUCCUCCGCUUCGUCCUAUUAUGUGCAUAUGAAACUUCACUCGGGGAACAAGCCCUACCAUUGUACAGUAUGCGAGGCGAGUUUUUGCCGCAAACCUUAUCUGGAAGUGCACAUGAGGACGCACACGGGCGAGCGGCCAUUUCAAUGUGAGCUGUGUCUGAAAAGGUUUACUCAAAAGAGCAGUCUCAAUACUCACAAACGAGUGCACACGGGCGAACGACCGUACGCGUGCGACAUUUGCCACAAACGCUUCGCCGUAAAGAGCUACGUCACGGCGCACCGUUGGAGCCACGUGGCCGAGAAGCCUCUGGUCUGCGAGCGAUGUUCUCUCACGUUCACGUCCAAAAGUCAAUUUGCGAUUCACAUCCGUACACAUACCGCCAGUACCACUUACGAGUGCAAUAUCUGUGGACGUACAUUUGUACGCGACAGUUAUUUGAUAAGGCAUCAGAAUCGGGUGCACCGCGACAUGAAUCAGAGCAGCUCGAAUCACAAUCCACCGACGCCGCAGAGCAGCGGUGCCGGUACGCCGGGCACCGGCUUCGAGAGUCCGGUCUGUGAUCUGCGCUACAGCGAGGGGCCGUCGUCAUUGGACGGUCUCGCGGGAGCUAAGGGCGCGGGCAUCGCCGCGGAGAUCGCCAGUUUAGCCAAGCAGAACAAUCUACAGCUUCCACUACCGUUGCUGCAUCCGCAGACCACCAACUAGUGUUUAGACAGCAGCAGCGCUACCCAGUCCCUGCCGCAACACCAAUCACCACAGCAAGUAAUGGAGAACAAAAAAUCGGCAGUAUUGUAAUAAAAAAAGGAAAUAUGCAUAAAAUCACGAAUAAAUCAAUCUAAAAGAAGAAAUGAUUCUACGAAUGAUUUCUAUGAAUAUCGUGAUUGUACAAUUAUAUUCGAAUACUUGUAUAAUAAUCGAAUAUUUGUAUAUUUAUAUUAUAUACUUUGUCGAUCAUUAUUAUAAAAGUUCUUUACUUCAUUAAAGAUAUGUACGUUUUUUUCCGUAUUUGAAAUAAAACAAUAUGUAUGUUUAGGCAUGCAGGAGAAGGAAGAAAGAAAUGAAAUAUAGAAAGCAUGUAAUUAUAAAGAAAUGAAUUUUAGAAGAAUUAUUACAUUUAUUUUGAAACUGUUUGACUUCUUUUGCAGCGACGCAUACGACAAUAUAUCAACUAUAUAUAUAAUCGAUCGAUUAUUAUAUACGAAAAAUCUUGGAACGCUCUAUAUUUGUCAGUGUUAGAUCAUUUGUCUUCGUUACGUUGAUUAGCUAUCAUCUCGGAUGUAUCAUGUACUCUAAUAUCCUAAUACUCGUAUACACAGUUUAGCGGGUAGUUGCACGUAUCUUCCUGAUGUAUUCUUUAAACCGAAAUGUGGAACUAUUGGUGGUGGCACCCUUACCAAACCUCCCCUUAAACGUACAUACAGAGUUGUCCUUGAAAAUAUUGUCACUUUCUGAAAUGUAUUAUUCGUUGGAAAAUGAGAGAAACGGGUCUCCUUCGCGACAUUCUUUUUUCGCGUUUCAUCUCUUAUUAAAUCGGAGAAAAUGUCAGAGAAAGGACCAAUUUGAUCGUUUCAGUUUACGCGUGAAAGGGAUCAGAUCAGAUAGGAGAGCGCGCUUUUCUCCUAACGUUCCAAUGAACAAUAAGAGAAAUGGCAAUGUUUUAUCGGAGGGCACCACGUUUCAUUCCCGAUACUUUAAAGCCGGUUCCUGGCCCGACUACCUUCACCAAGUGCUCUAUCGUGCCGUGCGAUCGACUCCGUACUUGUGAUAGCCCCGGUAAGCACAGCCCUGGCUCGUAACGUUUUAUACCCUCGCGUCGCCUGGCACGAGCAGCACGUGAUGUAAUUAAACCUGACUUUCAGUAGGGGGUUUCGAUCCGAGGAAGGUCUCGUGGAGGAGAGGGCGGUAGAUGAUAAAAGCAAAAAAAAAAAAAGAAGGAAAGAAUUCGAGCUUUCGAAUUCAGCGAUCGGUCUCGGGGUCCGACGAAAACGAAGGAGAAAGACACCUAAAACCGAAGACGGGGAACUUGAUGAAGUGAAGAAAGGGGGGAGAAGUUAAAUUGACAAUGCUCGCGUCGCUCGACAUUGCGCCUGUACCAUUUUGCUUCUUUAGCAGAGUACAAUGCCAUUUAUUUUUGUAAUACGUUUACGUAGGAUAGCUCUUAUUUUUAUAGGGGUUUACUGUGCUACCGUAAGUCUUAUAGAGGCCUGCGUAAUAAAGUAGUGUAGGAAUUUUUGUAGGUGUCACAGAGUCCACAGUGGAAUAUAUAUACAUAUAUAUAUAUUAAAAAAAAAAAAGAAAAAGGGACACGCACUUCUAGUACUGGCUUUAGUUUGGAACGGAGACGCGCGACACACACAUAUACACACAUAUACAUGAAUAUACGUAGCAGAACAACUUUAUUAUCAGGGCAAUGAUUCUCAAAGCAAUCUUUCCGCGAGCGAGUGAGGGGUGGGAAGGGAGGAUCGGAAGAGGAGGAUCUGGCAGGGAUAUUUCUGCGUGAAGGGAAGAAUAUUAACGCACUUUGAAUUACAGCAAUAAGAGAUAUUCCUCGGCGGCGACGGCGGCGGCGGCGGCGGUCGCGACAAAAUGGGCGCUCCGUUUUCUUUUUAUUCCCGAAGGUAGAAAUUAUUGCCGGAGCGAUAUGCGCGCGUUGCUCUUUCCGGCAUUCGAGGCGACGAUCGUUUUGAACUUGAGCGGUUCGCUUGAGCCACGCUUCCCAAGCUAGAUUUAAUACGAUGUAAAAGAGAUGUACAAAAGAGUACCGGCGUGUGCGUCAAGCGGAUCACUUGAGGGGGAAAGGAUGUAAUACGGGGGCACACGUCGGGAUUGAACAACCACGUUGAGAGAUAAAUGUCACGUAGCGUUUCUGAACCGUGUAGAAAUAAUCGAUUCGUAGGAGAUAUAGACGGGACAAACGGCGAAAGGGACAUACACUCGCUGUUAAACGGUGUCCGUCGCUUUUUCUUUAUUUGAGAUAUAUUUUUGUAGCAACCCGACGAGAGAUUUGAGAACACACAUUUCACAUGCACGAAAUCUGCACAUGUAUAUACAUAUGACAACGGUCUUCCUCGUCCAACGAUAUUUUUUUGCAACGACGGCGGGAGUGCGCUUUGCAUUCACUCUUUACAGCUUUUAACCGUCACACUUUUGCAACAAUAAUGCACAGAGGUGAAUCACGAUGUAAGGAAGUCCACGAUAUUUAUGGAAAGUUCUAUUAUAUGUAGUUCAAGACGUUCUACGAUCACGUUUUAAAGUAAGAUUUCGUUGAUCAUAUAAUUUACAUAUGAUACUAGUCUUGUUGCGUAUGUUUUAAGUUUGGAAACGACCGAGAUAUGAUUAAUUUGUAAAUUCGGGGAUAGUUUUCGAAUUUUUAUACACGAUAAUAUUAAUGUCAUUUAUCGUAAUCACUUUCAUCGAACAAUUGUUUUCUCGCUAAAUAUAUCUCAUUGUACCGGUCAUGCUGUUUCUUUCUUACGAGCUGUGAAGGGUUAAUACAUGUUAAAUCUGGUCUAUCGGGGGUGCUAAGAGUCACCAGGCCGUAAGUACAAGCGUAAGUUCUUCUCUGUCGCUAUAAUAAUUCUCUCAACUCGAGUUUUUGAACGGUGCCUAAAAGCCUUGAUAUUAAAAGACGAACGAAAGCAAGUCCGGAAUUGCGUGUCGUCGAAUCCUUGGCGAGUAACGGGUGGGCAAAGGGAAGCGAAAGGAUUGCUGUUAGCCGCGGGUAUUUGACGGUACCCGUGUCAGCAAUAUCGCGUUUUAAAAAUCACAGGAGGAACAAAAUUAUGAUACGAUAUACGACGAUAAGAUAUACCUAUAUGUACCGGCGAUGCGUAGAAAGUAUCAUGUCACGUAUUAUGUACACCCGCAAAGUGUGUAUGUAUGUACGUACGUAUGUAUGUAUGAUAUAAAACAAGGGGAUUAUCGUAGCGCUCCGUUAAGGGAGAAUAAAGUAUAUAUAUAUAUAUAUAAACUGAAAGAAAUAAUAAACGCUACCGAACUAAUAUAAUAAACGACAAUGAAGAAGUAGAUAGAUCUACGCCGAUUUAUGUAUGUACGUAAAAUAAAAUGUAAGAAUCGCGAGUAACGUGCACUUUUGUAAUAGUCAUUUUGCGAAAAACGAUUAAAAAAAAAAACAACCGAAGAAACAAGACAAACGAUAGCAGAGAUAAUAAAAAGUUGACGCUUGGUAUACUAUAGUUUUUAUCGACAUAUCCUAUCCGAACACAUCCUCCUUACGUACAUACUGCAUAUACCUAGUUAUUAUUACAGGUACAUGUUAUAUAUAGGAUAUUUUACGAGCAAACGAUACUAAUAUAAUUACGAUUAUUAUUAUUGUAAUUAUUUUGAUUAUUAUCAUUAUCGAAAUAUUAAUUAUUAUUGUCACAUAAUUAAUGCGGAGGGUAUAGGUGCGUAUAAUAUAAAAAUGGUACAACUAAGGCAAGCAUGUAUUGUACAUAGCUGUCAAUCUUUGCCCCACCAUAUGAAUACAUAUACAUAAAUAUAUAUGUAUAUAUAUAUAUAAAUGCAUACAGCCAUUAUAUUGCAGAACAAACAUUAACCGUUGUUGUACUAGUUAUUGUGAAUUAUUACUUUUCAUCCUUAUAUUAUUAUCAUUAUUAUUAUUACUAUUAUCAUCAUUAUGAUUACUGUUAUCAUGGUCAUCAUCGUCAUAAUUAUCAUCGUCACUAUCAUCGUUGUCGCGGCGUCGAUUUUAAUGCUACGUAUACUUUUAAUUAAUGUUACAAUUAUUGUUGACGGAAGUAGCCCCUCACUUAUAGCAUAUGCGGAUCAAAAGUUGUAUUUAUUUGCAGAUUGGAUUCUACCUCAAUCUUAUUGUAAACAAAACUACCCAAGUGUCCUCCACACCUAUCCUUCCAUUCUCUGAAUGAAAAUUUUCAUAAGAUAUUAUAGUACGUCGUUACAGGCGAGAGACAUUGAUUUGCAGCGACCUCAAACUGUGAUAGAUAUAAAGGAUAUUUAAAUUAAGUUGUUUUUUUUUUGCGCUGUAUCGAGGUACAUAUAACUCAUUGGUGAAUCUUGCGAACGAAAUACACGUCUGUGAAAUUUGACGUAAGCUCAUUACAUGAUUACGUGUGAUAAACGUGGCAUAAAGCAAAAUAGAUCAUCAAAUGUUAUGUGAAUACACGAAUUUAAUUUCUAACUUUAUUAUCUUACAGCGAGGUCAUUUUAAGGAUUAUGUUAAUUUUGUAAUGAGCUUUAUUUAAUUUUCGUUUGCAAAUAUUCGGAACACUGUACGCUUUUAAUACUAGAUUUACGUUGUGUUGUUUUAAUAGAAAGUAUUUAUAUGUAUCCCAAUUUAUUUCAGCAUGUUGUCUAUGUAAAAGUGAAAUAUGUAUUUUAUGCAGAAGAAUCUAUAAAAAGAACAUGCUCUAUACAUUAUACUUUAUAACAAUGUGUAUCUCACGUUUGCAAUUGUAUUUCAUGCAGACUGUGAGUACGCAAUAUUAUACGCAAUAAAACACAGAACUUUUUUUUUAAGCUUGAUCAAAUAUGUACUAUGAACAAAUGCUGUGCUCUUUGUGAUCUACGAGUUUGUGAUGUCAUCGCGCACGAUGUGAAUUUUUUCUUUCUUUAUUCUACGUCAGUUUAGGUUCUCGAGCAAUCGCGAAAAUUGAAGCGUUACAUCGCGGUAUGGGUUCCUUGAUUGAUAUACGUUGCGCAAGAAUUAGUAGUGUUAGUUGUAACUGCCUAUGGGGCCUCGAUGAUUUCAGUGUAUUAUUAUAUUGUGAUGUUAGCUUAAGCUCUCGCGAACCGAGAUCGGAGAUUUGUAAUCUGAGGUUGCUGUAAAAUCAAUCUUAUCGCUAAGGUGAGGGAUCACUUUCAUAAUUUUUUAGGCUACACGAAAUACGCCCAGAAGCCGAUGUCGAUUGUCCUCGAAAAAAAAUAAGAAAAGUAAAACACGUAUAAAACGUAUCCCGCGUAAUUGUGUUUGAAUGGCGAAAUGCGAUGUUUGGGAACUGUAUAUUGUGAUCAGCCAACAGACUACAAUGUAGUUUGUUCGUAAUAAAAUGAACAAACAGAAAUACUUGUGUAAUAAAGUAGGUAUCCAUGAA